GUGACUAUUCCUGGUAUUGAUUGUGGUUUUGUUGUAAAUGCAAACAUAGACAUCAAACAGAUGUUUCCUGUCAACAGGAUCUGUAUAGUUAAAAAGAUAUUCUGUGUAAUGUCUCCAUAUAUU